rnacentral:rRNA from 1 species
GGCAAGUUCUACCUAGGAGAUGCUGGCUAUGCAUGUCGACCAGCUGCUCUUCCACCCUUCAGGAAAAUCAAGUACCAUCUGAAUGAGUUUGCUGGUAGGAACUAGCUUAGGACCCCACAGGAACUGUUUAAUCUCAGGCACUCCAGUCUUAGAGUUACGGUUGAGGGGGCAUUCAGAGCUCUGAAGAAUAGGUUUAUGAUCCUGGAUCAGAAGCCAUUCCACACUUCGCCCACCCAGUUUAAGCUUGUUCUUGCUUGUUGCAUUCAUAACUAGAACUUGUAAUGGGGUUGUGAUGAACUCGUGCCGGAGGAGGAAGAGGUGACGCCUGAUGAUGUUGUCAGCUCCGGCCAUGGUGUGGAGGCAUUUGACAACGAAGCCUGGAAGAAAAAAAGGAUGAAGUAG